GACGAACGCUGGCGGCGUGCUUAACACAUGCAAGUCGAACGGAAAGGCCCUGCUUUUGUGGGGUGCUCGAGUGGCGAACGGGUGAGUAACACGUGAGUAACCUGCCCUUGACUUUGGGAUAACUUCAGGAAACUGGGGCUAAUACCGGAUAGGAGCUCCUGCUGCAUGGUGGGGGUUGGAAAGUUUCGGCGGUUGGGGAUGGACUCGCGGCUUAUCAGCUUGUUGGUGGGGUAGUGGCUUACCAAGGCUUUGACGGGUAGCCGGCCUGGGAGGGUGACCGGCCACAUUGGGCCUGGGAUACGGCCCAGACUCUUACGGGGGGCAGCAGUGGGGAAUUUUGCACAAUGGGCGGAAGCCUGAUGCAGCAACGCCGCGUGCGGGAUGACGGCCUUCGGGUUGUAAACCGCUUUCGCCUGUGACGAAGCGUGAGUGACGGUACUGGGUAAAGAAGCACCGGCUACCUACGU
rnacentral:rRNA from 1 species